rnacentral:rRNA from 1 species
CCUACGGGUGGCAGCAGUGAGGAAUAUUGGACAAUGGGCGAGAGCCUGAACCAGCCAAGCCGCGUGAAGGAUGAAGGAUCUAUGGUUUGUAAACUCUUUCUACAUUGGAGUAAAGUGAGGAACGUGUUCCUUUAUGUCUGUACCAUAUGAAUCAGCACAGGCUAACUCCGUGCCAGCAGCCGCGGUAAUACGGAGGUUGCGAGCGUUAUCCGGAUUUAUUGGGGUGAAAGGGUGCGUAGGUGGUUAAUUAAGUCAGCGGUGAAAGGUUGUGGCUCAACCAUAAAAUUGCCGUUGAAACUGGUUGACUUGAGUGUAGUUGAGGUAAGCGGAAUGCGUGGUGUAGCGGUGAAAUGCAUAGAUAUCACGAAGAACUCCGAUUGCGAAGGCAGCUUACUAAACUAUAACUGACGCUGAAGCACGAAAGCGUGGGGAGCAAACAGGAUUAGAUACCCGGGUAGUC